GAUGAACGCUGGCGGCGUGCCUAAUACAUGCAAGUCGAACGAAACUUCUUUAUCACCGAGUGCUUGCACUCACCGAUAAAGAGUUGAGUGGCGAACGGGUGAGUAACACGUGGGCAACCUGCCCAAAAGAGGGGGAUAACACUUGGAAACAGGUGCUAAUACCGCAUAACCAUAGUUACCGCAUGGUAACUAUGUAAAAGGUGGCUAUACUACCGCCUUUGGAUGGGCCCGCGGCGCAUAGCUAGUUGGUAGGGUAAAGGCUUACCAAGGCAAUGAUGCGUAGCCAAAUUGAGAGGUUGAUCGGCCACAUUGGGACUGAGACACGGCCCAAACUCCUACGGGAGGCAGCAGUAGGGAAUCUUCCACAAUGGGCGAAAGCCGGAUGGAGCAACGCCGCGUGGGUGAAGAAGGUCUUCGGAUCGUAAAACCCUGUUGUUAGAGAAGAAAGUGCGUGAGAGUAACUGUUCACGUUUCGACGGUAUCUAACCAGAAAGCCACGGCUAACUACGU
rnacentral:rRNA from 1 species